GACGAACCGUGCGAACGUUGUUCGGAAUCACUGGGCUUAAAGGGCGCGUAGGCGGGCGGUCAAGUCUUUUGUGAAAUCCUUCGGCUCAACCGGAGCAUUGCAGGAGAUACUGGCCGUCUCGAGGGGGGUAGGGGCAUGUGGAACUUCCGGUGGAGCGGGUGAAAUGCGUAGAUAUUCGCAAGAACACCAGUGGCGAAGGCGGCUCACUGGCCCGAUACUGACGCUGAGGCACGAAAGCGUGGGGAGCAAACAGGGAUUAAGAUACCCG
rnacentral:rRNA from 1 species